GUCAACCAGAACAUUUAGUACUUAAAAUAAAUUGUUCUCUUAGUCAAGCGAGAAUUAUUAAAGCGUUUAGUAACUCUUUUGACUUACAUUAUACAUAAAUCAGAUUUAAAAAUAAACUAACUGAAAAUCGAAACCGUAAUAAAUCAUGCCAGAGCCAAAUACCUCAACGCCGCCUGCAAACCCGAAGCCACACACGACUCCAGAGGUCGUGCAACAAGUGAGAAUCCCUAUUGCGCCGGGCAGAAGACUUCCACCUGGCAGCCGAUGCUGCUGUCUUAUUUUAUGAAGAAUUUUUAAAAAUAUUGAAAAUUACAGAUCGUGUAAUCCUUGGGGUUUCUUAAUAUAAAUUUAUUACCACUAUUCUGAAGAAGAUCGCGAUAUCUGAUUAAAUUUAUAUUAAAAGGAA